rnacentral:rRNA from 1 species
GAAGCCGGCAAGAGCUCAAAUUUGAAAGCUGGCUCCUUCGGAGUCCGCAUUGUAAUUUGCAGAGGAUGCUUUGGGUGCGGCCCCCGUCUAAGUGCCCUGGAACGGGCCGUCAGAGAGGGUGAGAAUCCCGUCUUGGGCGGGGUGUCCGUGCCCGUGUAAAGCUCCUUCGACGAGUCGAGUUGUUUGGGAAUGCAGCUCUAAAUGGGUGGUAAAUUUCAUCUAAAGCUAAAUACUGGCCGGAGACCGAUAGCGCACAAGUAGAGUGAUCGAAAGAUGAAAAGCACUUUGAAAAGAGAGUUAAACAGCACGUGAAAUUGUUGAAAGGGAAGCGCUUGCGACCAGACUCGCCCGCGGGGUUCAGCCGGCAUUCGUGCCGGUGUACUUCCCCGUGGGCGGGCCAGCGUCGGUUUGGGCGGCCGGUCAAAGGCCCCUGGAAUGUAGUGCCCUCCGGGGCACCUUAUAGCCAGGGGUGCAAUGCGGCCAGCCUGGACCGAGGAACGCGCUUCGGCACGGACGCUGGCAUAAUGGUCGUAAACGACCCGUCUUGAAACACGGACCAAGGAGUCUAACAUCUACGCGAGUGUUCGGGUGUCAAACCCGUGCGCGCAGUGAAAGCGAACGGAGGUGGGAGCCCCCUUGCGGGGCGCACCAUCGACCGAUCCUGAUGUCUUCGGAUGGAUUUGAGUAAGAGCGUAGCUGUGGGGGACCCGAAAGAUG